AUGCUACCUUUGUCUAUUUACUAGCAAGUGUUGGUUUGGAAGUACUCGCCAUACUUCCAUUGGCUUUUAAAUUAAGCAUGGUGCUUAGGUUAAACAGCCUUCCUUAAUCUGAUUAGACAUGGAGUCUAGUUUGGUUAUUGAACUAAAAACUGCUUGACUAGAUAUUUCUAUAUUUUGUCGGACUAACCCCUGCAGGAAAACUUUCAAUAUCAACCUGGGAAGUCCUGAGAUAAACUCACAUCAGAGACAAAGAGAGAGACACAUGAAGUUUAACAAUUUACACAAGGAAGACGUAGCUCAUAAGAGAUGAUCCAUGGAGGGUGCUACAAACACGAUGCACAACCGCUAAGAAAGGAAAGCUUCCACAAGGUGAGACUGUACCAUCACUCUUCAAUUAAGGUAACACCUUAAGGUACUUGACUAUCACUUUUAUAAGCUUCUCAUUGGUUCUGGCGUUCAUAUGGAUAAAAGAGACAAACAUGUAUGAUUUAUAACUCAAAAUUAACCAACCCCACUGAUUCAGCAUGUUUAGUCCCUUAAUCUUUGAUCCCCACACUCCUAGUCAUAUGAGCUAAAAUGUUGCACAUUUAAUCUUUGGGAAGAUAUAAAGAAAAAGACAUAUAUAUAUAGAUAGAUUAUCUUUUCAUAAGGUUGAGUGAUCUGAUCUGACAAAUGUUUUAAAUGCUACACUCAUGAACUUAUCAUCCAUCAACUUUGUCUUGCUCACUAUGCUUAAGGUUAGAGAAGAAAAAAAAUACACUUUUGGUUCUGUUGGUGUUUUCCACCAACAGGACUCAUGCACUUGAUCUCUACCUUGUCUCUAUGAGCAGGUACACUUCGAGCAAGACAUGAAGGAGUUUUACAACUCCGAGACUUCACCAAGUGAAGGACCUGGAUCUACGAGCAUAAACACACUGAGCAAGAUACUGCCAACACCGCACUUCGAACUACUGGGCAAACGAAGAACAUGGGUGACACCGUAUCAAGAGGUGCAAACGUCAAGGUCCACACCUGAAUCAAAUGACGCACCCAAAGAAUGAACACGGUGAGAAGUCUUGUCCAGAAAACUUAAAACAUUGGAUCCUUGCCGGAAGGUAAAAUCGGUAUUUAUCCAUAUUUAUCUUUUCUGCAUUCCUUUUUUUAUUUUAUUCCAUCACUUGCAUUAGCAUAUUUACUUUUCUACAUUAGCAGUAGAAAAGAAAACAAAAAUAUUUGUUCAUUGCACUGCAUCAUAAAAUUGUAAGCCCCAUGUGAGUAUGCUCGUGGCAUAAAACCCAUAAGUACAUUCACUGUGGUGGCAUAAAAAUAAAUAUAUUUCUGUCCUAUAAAAAUGAAAAUAUAAAAAUAAGAUUAUGAUCCUACUAAAGAGAGUAACAUUUAUUAAGGAGGCUCAACAUGAUAAAGGCUAGAUAUUUAUGCUAAUACUUAACUAGUUCCACAAAGCUUUGUUGUCUAUUUGAGCUCCACAGAAUUCAAGGAUCAAAGAAGACUAGCAGACGGAGGACAACCUAAUCGCUGUCAGGGUGCUACCGACAUUCAAAUACACCUCCGCCACCUGCUAGCUACAUCAGAAGAAAUUACGUCAAAAUCCAGCUUGGGGGAGAGCACCCCCAUUUACCCAGCUAAGUGUUUCUACUCGCGUUUAUACUUUACUCAAAUAAUAAAAAGAUGCAUAAUCAUAAAAAAAACCCAAAUAAAGAUUUUAUACUUAUAUAUAUAUAUAUAUAUCUUUGCUUAGUUUGCUAAAUAAAUAAAUAAAUAAAGUUUGCUAUGAACCCUCAUGAUAAGCUCUCACAUGGAUAUGAUGAAUAAUUGCUCUGCCAUGACUAGUUCUUAAAAUUGAAUUCUCUCUCAAGUUUAGGCAUGAUUGUUAUGAAUUAAGAUUUGCUCUAAACCUAAACUUGUGGGAAGAGUGCUUGUUCUAAAGUCUAAGUCGUUAACGGAUAUGAUAUAGGAUGGUUGAGCUGCUAUUUGUCUGUUCCUAGAGAUGCUAGAAUUCUGGAGAAUUUUAUCGUUGAAAAUCUUUAAAAUGUUGCAUGAUGAGUUCCUGUAUGAUGAGAGUUUAAAAUCCUACCACAGCCAUAUAUACAUGCUUAUUAGACUAUAAACCAUACAUUUACUUUUUACUGCUUAUGAGCAUUGAGUGUGGUCAAGCUGUGUAGACCCUUAGGAGCUUGUCAUGCGGUUAAAAUCAAGAUUCACUUGCACGUUCACUCAUACAUGCUGCUUCUACUCCAGAAGUACGCAUCCACAUACAUCCACUCUUUUCCAUCUCCAGAUUCACCUAAAAAUAUUCUACUCCUAUCCAGGAGAGAAUAGCCAAAAACAUUAUCCUAUCCCUGUUAUUCUCCGUGAAGUAAAUGCUCUUGAUAUUGUGGUUACUACCACUUGCUACAUUAUUCUAGGAGGGUGAGUGCUCUGAAAAAAAAAGAAAAAAAAUACGAGGAAAUAAAAAGGGGCAAGUGCCCGGAACCUCGAAGAAAAAAAAGUAAGACGAGAGGUAAAAAUGGACAAGUGUCCGACAGUAGAAUUAGGGGUAGAAGAUACCCACCUGAGAGAAAAGAAAAAGAAAAUAUAGAGCAUCUCAUUCCCCUCAAACUUCAAAGUGAAAGAAAGUUAUGUAUCCCCUCAAAAGAGCAAACGUAGAAUUAGACUUUCACCAUUGUUUUCAUCAUUAUCACCAUCAUCACCAUACAUCAUUCACUCGCCACACAUGCACAUCUUGAUUUGACUUAUUGACUUGUUCUUCUGGAUCCAUGGUUUGACUAUGCAAUAAAUGUCUUGUAAGUAUGUAUCAGCUGUCUCCCACCUAUGAGCUCAAGAUAUCAAAACCUUAUUAGAGUAGGGUGAGAGAGAAGGCAAUGUCACUAUGCCUCAUACCAAAAAUACCACAUACUUUGAGAGAAGGCAUAUAUCAUUACUGCCUUGGUAAGGAUCCAGAAAUACCACAAAAGAGAGACUAGAGAGAGUCAUACAAGGAAUCUCUGAGUUUUAUUUGAAUAUCUGCAAAACUCCAGAGCUAUAGUUGAUCAAAGAACAAGAGACAUGGUGCUUGACUUGACCGUUCUAUCUUUUAACUGCUCAAGACACAAGUGACGGUUGCAAGCCCCAUGGUGAAAGGUAAUAUGAGUAAGUUUUAAAUCUUAACAAUUUACCCUAACCUAGAGAUGAGAUCUUGUUUAAACGCAUGUGUACCUUUAAGGCAUAAAACCACUACAUAAACUCUUGAGUCCAUCCUUCCUCAGGGACGAGCAAGAGGUAAGCUUGGGGAAGUUGUUGACGGUCCUUAAGUACCAAAUAUAAUCAUCAAAUAAAUAAAGAAAAGGAUCCAAAUGCAACCAACACCCAGACUUAGGGUUUUAACUGAUAGAAUUCCACGUGUUUUGGUGUUUGUCUAUUUCUACAGGGGGUUAUCAAGAAAUAAGGAAGAAAGGCCCACACGUCGGGUUUACAUAGAGAUAUUAACGUGCCGCGCAAUUUUCUUUCAUCUAGAAGACUCCAGAAGCCACGGGAACAAACGGGAGGCCGAGCGGGCUCGGGGGCAGGGCGCCCGCCCACCCCCCUUGGGCGCCCGCCCAGCUACAGAGUCCAAUCAGGACUCUCUUCGGGGAUUACGCUCCACCGACCUAAAGGAUCAAGAAUAACUGUUCAAUCAAUGUAGGUUUGAUCCGACGGCCCAGAUUCACUUGAGGGGACUAUAUAACCAGACCCCCUGGCCCCUAGAGGAGGCACCCCUUGAUCAUUAUUCAUUAUUCAUAGACAGAGCAAAAGCUAGGGUUUGGAGAUGAGAGCUCUCCUCUCAUCUCUAAACUAGAGUAGAUCUAGAUAGUAGCG
rnacentral:lncRNA from 1 species